UCUCUGCACCCUGGCCAGUUCUUCUGACUACUGUUCAGUAUCCACUUCAUAUCUGAGAAGAAAUCCGAAAUGUUUCCAACCAAGUCAGCUCAAACUGCUCGGAAAUCAACCGGCGGUAAAUUCCCCAAGAAGCGGCUGGGCACCCUGCCUGAUAGAAAACCAGCAAACCCACCUCAGGUUGGUGCCCCAAGAACCUCUGUGAUGGCACCACCACCGCCCCAAGCCACAUUUUUGAGGGGAGGUUUAGUAAGCCCUGUGAAUCUCAGAGCUGAGCUCUCCCAGCAUUGUGCUUCUGUUGGCACUUAUAUGGACUGGUCCGAUGCCACUAUCCAGAAUUUGACGAAAGAGCGAGACCUGGCCUUUAAGGAGAAAGACCUGGUCUCCAAGGAGCGAGACUUGGCUUAUAAGGAGCGAGAUUUGACCUUGAAGGAUUUAAAGGAGGUUCAAAAGGACUUGUCCAAGUGCCAAUCUGAGUUGGAGCAGAGCCAGAAGAGCUUGGAACUAUGCAAGAACCAAUUUGAGGUUGAGAAGAGAAAGUUGACUGAAGAUUUGAUGCAGGACUUCCAAGAACAACUCUUCAUGACAGAGAGCCAGCAGUACAGUGUUGGGUACAGUGAUUGCUCCAAGGGCAGAUGCCACAGGCUUGGAUGGACUUCGGAGCAGGUUGAAGUGUUUGCUGAUGAGCUCUACUUCAGUGACAUGGAGGAAGAAGGAGCCUGAACCAGACUUGCAUAAAAUUUGCUUGUUGCAAUUUUCGUGCUUCUAACCAACAAUUCAUGAAGUGAACUUUGAUCAUAUCCACGUCCAUUUUCUUCUUUUCCUCUGUGCCUUGUGUGGGGAGAAGAAGCUACUGCAGUAUUGAGAUUAUAAAGGAAGAAGGAAGAGGAAAGCUUGAGCUUCCGUGGGAAGGAAGCGCCUUGCUAGCUACUGUAAACAGUUGAAGUGAUUGAUGUGAUCGUACUACAGAUUAAGCUUCUCAAGGAAGUUAUCACAUCAACCAUGGCUUCUGAAAGAAACUACUUUGUAAUAAUGUUCUGGUUUCCGGAUUUUAUCAUUGUAAAUUUUGUACUUGCACUUCGUCCAUAAUGCAUAGUUUGGUUUUCAAAGGCUGGUGUAUGAAUCCUUUUUUUUUUGUAAAAACAAAGAACUCAUAAUAACAAGGGAUGUACGGACAAUUUGAAACAUCAAAAAGCUGAUAUCAACUGCUCCCCUUUCUUUUUCAAAACAAAAACAAA